rnacentral:rRNA from 1 species
CAGCAGCCGCGGUAAUACGUAGGUGGCAAGCGUUGUCCGGAAUUAUUGGGCGUAAAGGGCUCGCAGGCGGUUUCUUAAGUCCGAUGUGAAAGCCCCCGGCUCAACCGGGGAGGGUCAUUGGAAACUGGGAAACUUGAGUGCAGAAGAGGAGAGUGGAAUUCCACGUGUAGCGGUGAAAUGCGUAGAGAUGUGGAGGAACACCAGUGGCGAAGGCGACUCUCUGGUCUGUAACUGACGCUGAGGAGCGAAAGCGUGGGGAGCGAACAGGAUUAGAUACCCGUGUAGUCCCUGUCUCUUAUAC